UUACCGAAGAAAUCACUUUAUCAAAAGGACAAUGCUGAGAAGUUUAAUGUGAAGUGUACUAUAACAGAUGGGAGGUAUGUCAAUACUUAUAUUUCCACACUGUUAAAUAGUAAGUAGAUUGACAGGUAAUACACUGCUUUGUAGGUCAUAUGUGAACGUAACAUUUUUUGGUCAAAUUGGAGAGAGUCUACUUGAUGCUAUGAAUACUAAAUCAGAUGAACCAGUCAUCAUGAUCAUAGCAAGUGCAAAAAUUCAUGAAUGGAAGGAUGAAGUUAGUCUAACUAAUUUUCCAGCUACCCGUGUCUAUUUGAAUAGCUCACACCACAGUGUGCGCUCAAUACGGAAAAGCCUUCAAGAUGGGACAUUUUAUAAAACAGAAAUGGAAAUUGAGGAUGGAGCUGGAUUACCCAAGUUCACUGUGAAAGAGAUACUCAGCUUGAAGGAAGAUUAUAUCGAC